rnacentral:rRNA from 1 species
CAAUAGCGUAUAUUAAAGUUGUUGCAGUUAAAAAGCUCGUAGUUGGAUUUCUGGCCGAGUGUCCCCAAGCAGACAGACGUCUUGUCUUGGGCGCUCUGCCAUCCUUCUGUUAACCUUCGCCUCGUUCGUUCGUGGCGCUGGGGCUCAGAUAUUUUACCUUGAGAAAAUUAGAGUGUUUCAGGCAGGCUUUCGCCGGAAUACAUUAGCAUGGAAUAAUGGAAAAGGACUUCAACCUCUUCUGUUGGUCUGAGAGGCUGUAGUAAUGAUUAAUAGGGAUAGUUGGGGGCAUUAGUACUUAACUGUCAGAGGUGAAAUUCUCCGAUUUGUUAAAGACUAACUUAUGCGAAAGCAUUUGCCAAGGAUGUUUUCAUUAAUCAAGAACGAAAGUUAGGGGAUCAAAGACGAUUAGAUACCAU